rnacentral:rRNA from 1 species
CACGUAGGAGGCGAGCGUUGUCCGGAAUUAUUGGGCGUAAAGAGCUCGUAGGCGGCUUGUCACGUCGGUUGUGAAAGCCCGGGGCUUAACCCCGGGUCUGCAGUCGAUACGGGCAGGCUAGAGUGUGGUAGGGGAGAUCGGAAUUCCUGGUGUAGCGGUGAAAUGCGCAGAUAUCAGGAGGAACACCGAUGGCGAAGGCAGGUCUCUGGGCAUUAACUGACGCUGAGGAGCGAAAGCAUGGGGAGCGAACAGG